UUUUUUUUCUUUUAAAAAAACCUCAACCAUAUACAUAGGCAGCUUUCUCAGGACCGCAUUAUCUGGCUAUAAAAUCUGAUGAUAUGGCUUCUAGGUGCCUGGGGCUGUGGUGUGGGGAGCGGAAGAGGGGAUUUUUAAGGCCAUUUGUAUUAAAAAAAAUGUAAGAAAGAACAAGUAAGAUGUGGUUAUGUCAAGCCACUUUCCUGGGGUGAAAACGAAGCCUGCUGCUAAUGGAGCCCAGAGUCUUAUAUUUCAUCCCAUGUAUAAAAUAAGACAGGCACUGUUGGCUCUGACAGGCAUCUUGGGCCUUUUUUUUCUAGUCGAGGUCUCCAGAGAGCUCAAAGAAAUGAUGCUGUUUCCAGAUGAAGUGCGGAUGGAUUACACUCUGUUACCUCUGCGGCUUUCAGCUCCAGAGGCUCUAGCUAGGAGAGAGAAAGCUGCUACUUUAAGAACAUUUGCAUCACUGGGCUAACCCUUCGUUGUGGGUGUUUCUUCCACAGCAAAACACCAUCCAACCAACUUUCCAAUGAGCCCUGAAGUUUUCAUUUCACCAAGGAGUCUCCAAGGAAGAACCUGGAACUAAACCUGAGGGAGCCUCUGUGGAAUAAGAGAGUUACAGAAAAUAGCUUUUCCAUGGUAUGUUAUUGCUUGGCCCAGUUUCUUGCGUGCGCCGGACUGGCCAGCAGUAAUGACGCUGCAACAGGAUCCUUCUGCACACGUUUAUUGGGAGAGCUUGAUUGCAGAGGCGAAGAGAUCCUGAGCCCAGAACUGGUGCUGCUUAUAUAGGCCUAGGAGAGGCGUGUCUCACACCCGGAUUGGUUAUGCACUAAGCCUCAUUUGCAUGUUCCUCAUCUGAUUGGCUACUCUCUCUCUCUCUGUACCUCACAGAGCCUCAUUAUCAUACCUCAUUUGCGUGUCUCACAUCUGAUUGGUUAUACUCUCAAAGCCUCAUUAUCAUGCCCGGGCCAGGCAGUGUCUUUGCAAAAAACUUUACUGCAUAUGUACACAUUGGUUGUUUGUCCAAACUUAUGCGUGAUGGCCAGCAGUAGUCAGUGCCACUCUGCAAUGGCACAUGUGGCUUCCCACACCAGUUUCCUGCAGAGGAGGAGGGAGAAGGGAGAGAGAAUUUUAGUAAAGAAGACCUGAGAGAAUUAUGUUUACCUUCUAUCACUAAGAUUCUAAAACCAUGGCAGAAUUGCUUCCAUUGCCUCUGUACCUUGGGAUUGGGGUAGAGAGACUUGAAGGAUUAACAGCUCCAGAGCCUACAGUCCAGCACUCCCAUCCCCAUGUCUCUAAGGCUUCUGCCGGGGUCUGGGAGAGGCCAAAGGGGAAGAGUUACCUAACAGAAACAAAAGCUUCACUUAGGUCAGAUGUAAUUGUUCCUCGGUACAUUCCAGAGAAGCCACUCCUUAUGAGGUUAAUGGGGGUGGGGGUGGGGGUGGGCAUUUUCAUCCAAAUCACCAUAUUCCACUCCCUGGCUCUCAUAGGCUUGUAGCCAUAUCAUAAUGAAAGCUACAUUUAGUCCAACUUCAAAAGUCCCCAUAGUCGAUCACAGUAGCAGCAUUGUUUAAAACUUCAAAGUUCAACCUCUCUUCUGAAUCUCAUGCAAACUUUUAACUCUAAUUCCCUGUGAAAACAAAAUGAAAAAGAAGAUCACAUACCUUCAACAUAUAAUGGCACAGGGUAUAUACAUUCCUGUUCCAAAAGCAUGGAAAGGGAGCAACAUGAAGAAAUACUGGACCAAAGCAAGACUGAAAACCAAACCAAACCAAAGCAAACUCCAGACUGCAUCCUCAUUUCUGAUGUCCAAAUACUCUUCAUAUCUCUAACUCCUUUCUGUUUGUGAUGGUUUCCUUCAUAUCCUAAGCGAGGCUGUUCUGGGACUUGCUCUGUAGACUAGUCUGGCCUCGAAAGGCAUGAACCAGCACCACACCUGGCCCUUAGCUUUUCUUUAAUUUCCUUUUCACAAGUUAGAAGCCUAGUUGGCUGGGAUCUUGCUCUGAGAUCACCAUGUCUGUUACUCCACCUAGCACCAGGCUUUUCUUCCAUCUCAUCACACAUCCUGGUGCCCCUUUUCUCCUCCAACAGUCUACUUUGUAUUUACCUUUGCUCAGCUUGCUCCUUUUCAUUAUGGAUCUGCACAAGACUGGCGACUAAUAGCCACAAAACAUAGUUUAUAAUAGGUUAUUUGAAAAUGUCCUCUGAUAAAGCUGAUAGUCUAUAGCUCUUCAAUUUAACCUAAGGAAGGCUUUUUUUUUUUUUUUUUUAAAGACAAGGAGAGAAAACAGCAACAUUCUUCACCAAGAUACCACAAGAAUGAUCUCUAGGCUACAUAUUAAUAUUCUCUUCCAAGCCUCUUGAGCCAGGCAUCCACAAUUCAAAUCACUCUCAGCACCACUGUCUUCCAUGCUUAUACUAGUAUGACCCACUAAACUCCAUUUAAAGGAUUCAACUGCUUUUCUAACCCAAAGUCCCAAUGUGUUCCACACUUCUCAUCAUAUUUUGUAAACAUCCUCUCUUACCUCCUGAUUGGAUUAAUAAAAAAUCUGGAGGAGAGACUAGGUGGGACUUCCAGUAGAGAUAGGAACUCAGGAAAGAGUCAGGUAUGGGAGAAUUUGCUAUCAAGCCAGAUACAGAGGAAGAAACAGCCUGAGAGUGAAGGUGAGGUAACUAACAAGCCAUGUGGCAGAACUUAGAUUAGUAUAAAUGGGCUAAUUAAGUUAUAUGAGUGAGUCAGGAACAAGAGUAAGCUAGUCCCAAAGCUAUAUUAAUAAAUGUAAGUCUUUGUGUCUUUACUCAGAGCUGGGGCAGGCAUAUAGAGUAUAUACAGCUCUACACCAUGACCGCAGCAACUCUUAUAAAGGAAAACAUUUAAUCGGAGCUAGCUUACAGUUCAGAGGCUUAGUUCUGUUAUUGUCAUGGUGGAAAACAUGGCAGCAUGCAGGUAGACAUGGUGCUGGAGAGGUAGCUGAGAGUUCUACAUCUGGAUCAACAGACAGCAGGAAGAAAUGGAGACAGUGGGCCUGGCUUGAGCAUCUGAGACCUCAAAGCCUAUCCCCAAUGACACAUUUCCUUCAACAAAGCCACAUCUACUCCAAGAAGGCCACACCUUCUAAUAGUGCCACUCUCUAAAGCCUUAUGGGAACCAUCCAUGCAACCCCCCACACUUCUGUAUGCUCAGGAGUAUUGAGUGGGUGGGUGCUGUGCAGCGGGAAACUCAGACUGACAGAGUGAGAGCCAGAUUUAACAGCUUAUUAUUUCUUCUUUUACCUGUUUAACCAUCUUGCUGGUACCAUAAUUAUAUUUUAAUUUUUAGUUAGAUACCUGAUUGUUAGUUUCUUUGUCAUUAUUGUUUAAUUUUGACUUCAGUCUUACAGUGUGGCAACAUUUGUCUGUCUUCUGGGUAUGUUUUAGGUUUUGGAUGUUAAUGUUGGUUAUUUUCACUCGAUUCACUUUUUUUGACAUAUCAUAAGUCUUCUCCAUUUGAAAAGCUUUAUAAAAUGGCUUUUUAAUGUAAGUUUCACAUGGUCAAACCUGUUAUAUAAUUUGUCAUUUCUAUUUUAUUCUGUAAAAUUCUUUCUGAGCUCUCUAACCUCCAUUCUGCUCCUAGGACAAGUAUCUCUAGAUUUUUAUUGUCAGUUUUGUUUUGGGCACAUUACAAUGCUGUCAGCUUUCAAUAUCCAUUGACUCUGCACCUACAGAUAUAACCAAGUUAAAAAAAUUAAAUUGUGUCUAUCAAGGUCAAACUCCUUUCUUAUCAUUAUUCCCUAGACAAUGUAUCAUAGCAAUUAUUUUAUGAUGUUUGUAUUAAAUGAAGUUUAAUAUAUAAUCCACUGAUUAUGUAGGAGGUCUUGUGUAUUGAUUAUGUAGGAGGUCUUGUGUAUUGAUUAUGUAGGAGGUCUUGUGUAUUGAUUAUGUAGGAGGUCUUGUGUAUUGAUUAUGUAGGAGGUCUUGUGUAUUGCCUAUAUGCAUAUUGAGCAGGGUUUUACUUAAAGGAUUUGAAUGUCUUUGCAAAGGAAUCAUACAAAGUUUCCUACAAACACAGAAAUGAUUGUACCUCUAAUAUUUGUAUCAUUUGCUUAUGUUUCUUUACUGUAAAUAAAAUAGAAUGUCCUUUAUGAAACAUAAAAAUAUUAAAAGGCUAACAUACUACCAAAA